rnacentral:rRNA from 1 species
UACAGAGGGUGCAAGCGUUGUUCGGAAUUACUGGGCGUAAAGCGCGCGUAGGCGGCUUUGUAAGUCAGAGGUGAAAUCCCGGGGCUCAACUCCGGAACUGCCUUUGAAACUGCAUCGCUUGAAUCCGGGAGAGGUGAGUGGAAUUCCGAGUGUAGAGGUGAAAUUCGUAGAUAUUCGGAAGAACACCAGUGGCGAAGGCGGCUCACUGGACCGGCAUUGACGCUGAGGUGCGAAAGCGUGGGGAGCAAACAGG